AGGCCAGCAUCCAGUGCAGAUCCUGCAGCUCUGCACAAACCCACCUCUGCUGGUAAGCACUGGGUUGGCGAGACAGAGCUUCACUGCUGCAGGACUGUAAGUAGUAAAGACCAGAAGAAGGAAAAACAAGACUUGGAAUACCUUAAACCAGUAAAAACACUAAAUGGGAAAGAGAGGAAAAUACCCCUCAGUCAUAAAAGCUAUGAGCAAACCUCUAAUCUUCCACAUUUCCUACCUGGUUCUGCCUGGUGGCAGCUGGAUACUUCAGGGCUUGCUCAGGUCAUAACGUGUUUCUAUGACACCUUUUGCAGGCAGAGCCUCAUAUUUGCAUGCCAGAAGGGCUCCUCUGAGCAGCAUCUCUACAUUGCUACUGCCCAAAAAGCACACCUUGGAGACAACAGCUACAAGAAAACAUUAGUCUGGACUACAGACUGAGAACAACUUAGGCUAGAGGACAAGCAGGGUUGGAACAACCCGCCCAUGCCAGGUGCACCAACUCAUUCUGGUGCUGGAAGACAUCCCAUCAGGACACGGAUGUUCCUUAACCAACUGAGAAAGGUGAUGGAAGUUGCUGUCCCUGCUACAGUGAGCGCCUGGGGGUUUCUGCUUAACGCAUCCUGAAAAAAAAAAAGCUAUAAAACCUCUUGAAUUCUUGUAUUACAUAUUUUCAACACAUAGUAGAGGAGUGCAAAUCAUUCAUCACUUGAACAACAUUCGUAUCUUUAGGACUUCAGAACAAGACAGACUUAUUUUUGUUCUUACUUCCUCCAUAAGGAAGAGAGAGGAUUCAUGUGAGCUACAGGGACUGUAACAUCACAAAAAUGCCUCAGAAAUCAAUGUUUAGAGAAAGGAUGCAAAAUAUUCAUCACUUAGUUUAACAGUGUUCAAAACCACCAGAUUACAUCCUGCACUGAAGAUGCACGAACAUCUUCUCUAGCCCCUGUCUCAAGAGACCAGGAAGCUAACCGUGGGAAGUCAGUCCCUGCAGAAUCCAAAUAAAGUUUACUACCAUAAAGUUUGCUAGUCA
rnacentral:lncRNA from 1 species